CUGUUCCUCACCACCUUCCUGUCUCUCCCAUGUACCCAUACACCUCUUGUGCAAGGUAGGCUGAAAUGAACCAACAUCAGCAGAGGCCGCGGCAGAGUGAGAGAGCUGCCCAUGCUGGGAGAAGCCCUGGUCUUUGUCUCCACAAAUGCUGAAACUGACAGUGUUUCUCCCAGAGUCCAAGUCUCCAUUAGCCAAGCCAAGAGCAGAGGAAAUGUUCUCCACUGGAGGAAAGAAGAACUGUCGACACCAGAAAAUUUCCUGCUGGAAUUCUGCCAAAGAAUAGCUGGCCGUCCUAGGGAGGUCCAUCAUUACGGAACUUUGCUGUUUGUAAAUUUAAUAAACGACUCACAUCUGCUUAUAAUAUCA